rnacentral:rRNA from 1 species
CUACGGGAGGCACCAGUGAGGAAUAUUGUACAAUGGGGGGAACCCUGAUGCAGCAACGCCGCGUGGAGGAUGACGCAUUUCGGUGUGUAAACUCCUUUUAUAUGUCAAGAAAAUGACGGUAGCAUAUGAAUAAGCACCGGCUAACUCCGUGCCAGCAGCCGCGGUAAUACGGAGGGUGCAAGCGUUACUCGGAAUCACUGGGCGUAAAGGGCGCGUAGGCGGGUUGGAAAGUCAGGUGUGAAAUCCUACAGCUUAACUGUAGAACUGCACUUGAAACUUCUAAUCUAGAGUAUGGGAGGGGGAGAUGGAAUUAGUGGUGUAGGGGUAAAAUCCGUAGAUAUCACUAGGAAUACCUAAAGCGAAGGCGAUCUCCUGGAACAUUACUGACGCUAAGGCGUGAAAGCGUGGGGAGCAAACAGGAUUAGAUACCCUCGUAGUC